rnacentral:rRNA from 1 species
AUUGAACGCUGGCGGCAUGCCUUACACAUGCAAGUCGAACGGCAGCACGGACUUCGGUCUGGUGGCGAGUGGCGAACGGGUGAGUAAUGUAUCGGAACGUACCUUUCAGUGGGGGAUAACGUAGCGAAAGUUACGCUAAUACCGCAUAUUCUGUGAGCAGGAAAGCAGGGGAUCGAAAGACCUUGCGCUGAUUGAGCGGCCGAUAUCAGAUUAGCUAGUUGGUGGGGUAAAGGCCUACCAAGGCGACGAUCUGUAGCGGGUCUGAGAGGAUGAUCCGCCACACUGGAACUGAGACACGGUCCAGACUCCUACGGGAGGCAGCAGUGGGGAAUUUUGGACAAUGGGGGCAACCCUGAUCCAGCCAUGCCGCGUGAGUGAAGAAGGCCUUCGGGUUGUAAAGCUCUUUCGGCCGGGAAGAAAUCGCAUAGGCUAAUACCCUGUGUGGAUGACGGUACCGGAAUAAGAAGCACCGGCUAACCACGUG